CCUGGUGGCGAGUGGCGAACGGGUGAGUAAUGCAUCGGAACGUGCCCAUGUCGUGGGGGAUAACGUAGCGAAAGCUACGCUAAUACCGCAUACGCCCUGAGGGGGAAAGCAGGGGAUCGCAAGACCUUGCACUAUUGGAGCGGCCGAUAUCGGAUUAGCUAGUUGGUGGGGUAACGGCUCACCAAGGCGACGAUCCGUAGCUGGUUUGAGAGGACGACCAGCCACACUGGGACUGAGACACGGCCCAGACUCCUACGGGAGGCAGCAGUGGGGAAUUUUGGACAAUGGGGGAAACCCUGAUCCAGCCAUCUCGCGUGUGCGAUGAAGGCCUUCGGGUUGUAAAGCACUUUUGGCAGGAAAGAAACGUCAUGGGUUAAUACCCCGUGAAACUGACGGUACCUGCAGAAUAAGCACCGGCUAACUACGUGCCAGCAGCCGCGGUAAUACGUAGGGUGCAAGCGUUAAUCGGAAUUACUGGGCGUAAAGCGUGCGCAGGCGGUUCGGAAAGAAAGAUGUGAAAUCCCAGAGCUUAACUUUGGAACUGCAUUUUUAACUACCGGGCUAGAGUGUGUCAGAGGGAGGUGGAAUUCCGCGUGUAGCAGUGAAAUGCGUAGAUAUGCGGAGGAACACCGAUGGCGAACGCAGCCUCCUGGGAUAACACUGACGCUCAUGCACGAAAGCGUGGCGAGCAAACAUGAUUAGAUACCCUGGUACUCCACGCCCUAAACGAUGUCUACUAGCUGAUGGGGCCUUCGGGCAAUGGUAGCCGCAACUAACGCGUGAAGUUAACGACUGGGGAGU
rnacentral:rRNA from 1 species